AGCCUGUCUCCAUCUUCCCCCAAGAACCAAGAGAUUAAAGCGGUCCUUCUGCAAGCUUCUGGGUCCAGGAACUCGGAGCUGGAAGAGCAAAUACCACGUCUGGUCUACUGAAUUGGCAAGCCUCCUGGCUCAGGCACCACUGGACUCCAAUGUUCAGAAAACGGACAGUUGCUAUGUUGAGCUCAUCUGCACUAAAGGAUUAGAAGCAAAUAGAAUCUACCCCACGAUCCAAGCUCAAAGGAUCUGGCCUGCUUGCUGGUGUCUUCCCCUGGCCUCCGCUGGGUGGUGUUUGCCUGCCCAGGUCACUGAGACCAGCAGAUCCUUCUAGGCUUUGCUGAACCUGGCUGGUAAUAACUAUCUGACCCUUCAAUUCUUCCAUACACUGAACUCGUUGCUCCAGUGAAUCCCUUUCCCAGCCCACCUUGUUUUGUCUCUGCCUUUCUGUCUCUCCCACUUUCUCACCCUUUCAUGUAAUUCAGCAACUAUUUUAAAACAAAUAGCUUUAUAUGAACAAAAGGACUAGAUCAUGAACUACACUGGUUAUUUGGAAGUCUAGGUUCUGGUCCUGCUACCCCUUUAACUUGAGUUAUUUACAAGUCUGUUUAAAAGUUUCUAGACAUA
rnacentral:lncRNA from 1 species